UAAAUUACAUUUUUGCAACAGAAAAAUGUUCUCCCAGGACAAGGCUUUCCCAUUGCACUUUGGGUGUGCUGACACCUGUGAAGUCCCCAGAUGUGGGAGACUCAACAGUGAAAAGUUGUGGUGGGGCGGGGAGGCAGGACAGCAUUUGUGCUGGCCUCUG